AAAACUUUAUCAAUUUCUUAUAUUUUAUCUGCUGCAAACAUCCUUCUAUUAUUCCACUCAGGACCACUCCCCAAUCCAAGAAACAGCUGGAUAGACUCGACCUAUUUCAGACUCAGCCAGACUUGCCAAGUCAUCAUAUUACAUGCGGUCUGUUGACUGAUAAGCCCGUUCUAAUAUCCCCAAUUGAUGGAGAGGAUUUUUGGCCUCAGCUAAAAUCUUCCGUUGACACUCUGCCCAGGCUGUUAUGAGGUCUCAUGUAGGCUGAAUACUUGCCCAAGUCAUAAAAGUCUACAUCAUCAAGGCAUCUGUGGACCAAGACCAGAGCUUCAUAUAUAAUCCAAAUGAAGAAAUCAAGAAGUUGGUUAAAUCAACAAUCCUGGAGCUCAGUGGGGUAAACUGAAACCGGAAACAUUUAAAUAUUGUUAGCAUGCAGGUGACAUUUAAAGCCACAAGACCAGAAAAGAUGAUCUACAAAGAGGGUAUAAUUUGAG
rnacentral:lncRNA from 1 species